rnacentral:misc_RNA from 1 species
GCGAUGUACCACGGGGAAAGAAACCAGUCCUAAGGGGACAUUUGUGUUUAUAAUUGGAAUAUAAUUGUUUGCAAAUGUGCUAACAAACAAUGGGGAAUAUAAUUGUUUGCAAAUGUGCUAACAAACAAUGGAACAGAUGGAGAUCUAGAUGUGUCGGGAAAAUCAAUUGCUAGGUAAAAUAAACAAUUUUAGGCAUCAGAAUGAAUCUACGUUUGAUAAAAAAUACACUUAGAUGUAACGCAAUAAUCGUUUCUUUUUAUCUUAUUCUAUUGUAGACGUUUGUUAAAUGAACAGUCACUCUAUCAGAUAUUUACUAUAUAUGCAACAAUCUUAUACCAUAAAACUCUAUGGUUAAUGUUUUACGUGUAUCUUAGAUAUGGAUUAGUCCAUGUAGCAGACAUGAACAAAAAUAGCAUUUUGUUCCAUACAAGUUAUUUUGUUUCAUAAUAGCAAUAACGCAUAGAAAAAUCAUAAAAUAUGAAGUGUAUAUACAUAUUUAAAAAAACAAAACAAAAAGAGAACAAAGAGAAAAAGACAUUUUUUUUAAAAUUUCAUUUUUAUGUUUUUGAUAUAUGAUAUGAAUUCUGAGUGCUCUAACCUUUCACGCACAAACUUUGCUCUUUUACGUACGAUGUAUUGUUUUGCAAUAAGAUUCAAUGUGUUAAAGGUUAUAUACGUUUUUAUGAUAGUCCAAAAAUUGUGAAAUGGUAAAAUGUGUUAAAAAAUUACAUAAAUCUAUACUUUAUAUUUUUCUUCUUAUGAAAUUAAUAUUAUCCAAAUGUAUAAUUUUCAAAAGGAAUUCAGUGAACAUAUGUGAAAAGUUGCAAUACUAAUAAUUCAAGCUUUACAGUGUUUUAUUAAGAAUUCAGAUUUUUAUAGCCAAUCCCAUUUAAAGAUGGCUUUUAAAGUCGAUAAUUGUGUCAUUUCAAUUUUACUUACAUAUGCAUAUAUCAUGUUUUUUUUUAAUAUAGGUAAUGAAUAUUACCUAUUGUUUUUCUUUUGCUUUUGUAGCUGCAUGUACAUAUAUUUUUUUUCAGUCUGAUAAACCUUACGAAAGAUUUUAUUUAUUCCCUAUGUUCUGAAACUGUCGUGAAAAUAAAGUGAAUGAAAAAAU